AAACCCGGAAACUACGUUUUCCGGAAUAUUGGGCGUAAGAGCUCGUAGGCGGUUUGUCGCGUCUGCUGUGAAAUCCCGAGGCUCAACCUCGGGCCUGCAGUGGGUACGGGCAGACUAGAGUGCGGUAGGGGAGAUUGGAAUUCCUGGUGUAGCGGGUGGAAUGCGGCAGAUAUCAGGAGGAACACCGAUGGCGAAGGCAGAUCUCUGGGCCGUAACUGACGCUGAGGAGCGGAAAGGGUGGGGAGCAAACAGGCUUAGAUACCCUGGUAGUCCACCCCGUAAACGUUGGGAACUAGUUGUGGGGACCAUUCCACGGGUUUCCGUGACGCAGCUAACGCAUUAAGUUCCCCGCCUGGGGAGUACGGCCGCAAGGCUAAAACUCAAAGGAAUUGACGGGGACCCGCACAAGCGGCGGAUCAUGCGGAUUAAUUCGAUGCAACGCGAAGAACCUUACCAAGGCUUGACAUACACCAGAACACCGUAUAAAUACGGGACUCUUUGGACACUGGUGAACAGGUGGUGCAUGGUUGUCGUCAGCUCGUGUCGUGAGAUGUUGGGUUAAGUCCCGCAAUGAGCGCUACCCUCGUUCUAUGUUUCUAGCACGUAAUGGUGGGAACUCAUGGGAUACUGCCGGGGUCAACUCGGAGGAAGGUGGGGAUGACGUCAUAUCAUCUAUGCCCCUUAUGUCUUGGGCUUCACGCAUGCUACAAUGGCCGGUACAAAGGGCUGCAAUACCGUGAGGUGGAGCGAAUCCCAAAAAGCCGGUCCCAGUUCGGAUUGAGGUCUGCAACUCGACCUCAUGAAGUCGGAGUCGCUAGUAAUCGCAGAUCAGCAACGCUGCGGUGAAUACGUUCCCGGGUCUUGUACACACCGCCCGUCAAGUCAUGAAAGUCGGUAACACCUGAAGCCGGUGGCCUAACCCUGUGGAGGGAGGACCGGAUAAUGUUUCUAUCCACG
rnacentral:rRNA from 1 species